GGAGAGGUGUCAGAGUGGUCUAUCGUGCAUCCUUGGAAAGGAUGUGUACCGAGAGGUACCGGGAGUUCGAAUCUCCCUCUCUCCG
rnacentral:tRNA from 1 species